rnacentral:tRNA from 1 species
UCAAAAACGGUUCCUGAGAACAUUAACUUUGGAAGUUAAAGGAUGACCAAAGUCAUUUUUGAA